rnacentral:rRNA from 1 species
GACGAACGCUGGCGGCGUGCUUAACACAUGCAAGUCGAACGGUAAGGCCGUGCCUUUGUGGCGUGCUCGAGUGGCGAACGGGUGAGUAACACGUGAGUAACCUGCCCUUGUCUUUGGGAUAACUUCAGGAAACUGGGGCUAAUACCGGAUAGGAGCUCCUCAUGCAUGGUGGGGGUUGGAAAAUGUCGGGGGUUGGGGUUGGUCUGCCGGCUGCUUAGCUGGUUGGUGGGGGAGUGGUUUACGACGGGUUCGACGGGUAGUCGGCGUGGGGGGGUGACCGGCGACAUUGGGACUGAGAUACGGCCGAGGGUCGUACGGGGGACAGCAGUGGGAAAUAUGACAGAAUGAUCCAGAGCCGGAUGCAGCAACGUGGCGUGCGUGAGGUCGUCCUUUGGGUUUUAAACCGCUUAAGGCUGAGACGUAGCUGUGUUGACGGUAAUGGGUAAAGAAGCACCGGCUAACUACGUG